CUCUCUUUUUUUUAAAUCUACUGAGAUUUGACUCACAUACCAUAACGUUCACUGUUUUCAAGUGUACAAGUCAGUCGAUUUGGGUAUAUAUACAGGGUUGUGCAACCACCACCACAAUCUAAUUUCCUAAACAUUCUCCCCUAAACAAAACACUCAACCCAUUAGCAGCCAUUCUCCUCACGCUCCCUACCCGGGGCGGCCGCCAGUCCACUUUCUGCCAGAUUCACAUAUGGAUUUGCCUAUUUUGCACAUUUCAUAGGAAUGGGAUCCUACAAUAUGUGGUCCUUGGUGACUGCCUUUUUUCAGAGUAUCAUGUCUUCAGGGUUCAUCCACGUUGUAGCCUGGGUCAGUGUUUCACCCCUUUGUACAGCUGAAUAGUACUCUGUUUCACCGGAUAGACCACGUUGGAUGCGUCCAUUCAGCAUAUGACAGAUGGGCACAGCACUUUGAGGAACCAGCUCCCAGUCUGCCUGUUGGGGGUGGGUGUGGGUGCCCGGACCUCCCACGCUGACCUUGACCUGAGAUAUAACCCAAUGGCUGUCUCCUUUCCCCUCUGGAAAAUUCCCACUCAGCCUUCAAGGUCCACUCGGAGGUCACUUGCAUCCCCGCAUUACCCCAUAUAGACUGAUAAUCCCUUCCUCCGCUGUGCUCCCAGUGAGGUUUCUUCCUUGUUUAAGACCCACCCGUCUCUUCCCCCUCGCCGCUCCAGGCUGAAACUGCGGUUGUCCUGUUUCUGGGGUCCUGGGUGUCUCCAAACCCUCAAAACGUUUGUGCACUGGAAAAAUGGGGAAUUGGCUGCACGAUAAUUGGCUGCCGGAGAAGCUAAUUGUUUCCUUGAAGUCACAGAUUUCGGACGGAGGAAAGAAGAACUGGGUUUGUUUCCAGCUUUUCUCCAUCCAACCCUUCAGCCCCUGUGUGCACCUGCUUAACUCAGGCCUCUUCUAGGUGUGGGGAGCGCGUGCAGAGAGGAACAAGCAGACACAUUCCACCAUCACGGGCUUGGGCCUGCAAGGGCAAUGAACCGGGACACUGGAGGUGUUCUGUCUUGGAUCCACCACAGUCAGCUAACACUGGCCGCUCAGAACAAGCGAACCAGUCAGCAGGACCCAGAUCAUCCAAACUGGCUGAUCCUGAGACGAGACUGAACUGCUACUAAGGACAACAGCCCUGCUCUGGUCACUCUGGAGGCUGACCAGUCUAUGCACGGCUGAAGUUUGAGGACUUGUCAAGCAAGUAAUGUAGCUAAAAAUCUUAAGACUUAGUGGUUUUCCUGUGUGCUGUUUUCCUGUUGUUCUGUCACUGUAUUCAAUCUUUUUCCCAGGUAAGGACCUCUUUUGUCCUUGCU